rnacentral:tRNA from 1 species
GCCUAGUUAGCUUAGUUGGUAGUGCGUCGGCCUCGUAAGCGCUAGGCCGCGGGUUCGAUUCCCGCCCGGGGCG